GUGAAUCAUCGAAUUUUUGGACGCAAAUUGCACUCUCUGGUAUUCCGGAGAGUAUGCCCGUUUGAGGGUCUGUUAAAAUAAAAAUCGGUGUGGUUGCUGCCUUUCGUGGUGAGGAACUGGAUUUGGGUCGUCUUGCUUUCGGUUAAGUGAUUUAAAAUUUUGUAUGAUUUUUUUCGAACGUUCUUAAAUGAUUUUCUGUACGUUUGCGAUAUAGAAUAUUUUGUGUGGUGAUCCUCAUGAUUCGCGUCUAUAAUUUUUC
rnacentral:misc_RNA from 1 species